UGGGGAAUCUUGCACAAUGGGCGAAAGCCUGAUGCAGCAACGCCGCGUGCGGGAAGACAGCCCUAGGGUUGUAAACCGCUUUCAGCAGGGAAGAAACUGACGGUACCUGCAGAAGAAGAUGCGGCCAACUACGUGCCAGCAGCCGCGGUGACACGUAGGCAUCAAGCGUUAUCCGGAUUUAUUGGGCGUAAAGAGCUCGUAGGCGGUUCGGUAAGUCGGGUGUGAAAACUCUGGGCUCAACCCAGAGAGGCCACUCGAUACUGCUGUGACUAGAGUGCGGUAGGGGAGCGGGGAAUUCCUGGUGUAGCGGUGAAAUGCGCAGAUAUCAGGAGGAACACCAGUGGCGAAGGCGCCGCUCUGGGCCGUAACUGACGCUGAGGAGCGAAAGCAUGGGUAGCAAACAGGAUUAGAUACCCUGGUAGUCCACACCGUAAACGAUGAAUGCCAGUCGUCGGGUAGCAUGCUAUUC
rnacentral:rRNA from 1 species